AAAUAACGAGAACUGUCUUUCCAUCAAUUUUGGAGCUCAUAGAGGAUGGAAUGAUCUGCACUGUGAGAAAGCGCUGCCUUUCGUCUGUGCCAGGCGCAUUUAAAAUCUCAUCCCCCCACGCCCACUCCCGCAAAGCAAGUCUUCCUGUCCACGAAGUGAGAGAUGCGCUCGCUCCGGACAUCGUUGCCCAG